CUGACACAGGGAGGUAGUGACAAUAAAUAACAAUGCCGGGCCUUCUUAGGUCUGGCAAUUGGAAUGAGAACAAUUUAAACCCCUUAUCGAGUAUCAAUUGGAGGGCAAGUCUGGUGCCAGCAGCCGCGGUAAUUCCAGCUCCAAUAGCGUAUAUUAAAGUUGUUGCAGUUAAAAAGCUCGUAGUUGGAUUUGUGGUGUGUCCGGCCGUCCCUCUCUUUUAUUAGUGUAGUGGUUGUGCUGGUCUGCCAUGUUUGGGCGGAAUCUGUGUGGCAUUAAGUUGUCGUGCAGGGGAUGCCCAUCGUUUACUGUGAAAAAUUGAGUGUUCAAAGCAGGCUUAUGCCGUUGAAUAUGUUAGCAUGGAAUAAUGAUCUAGGACCUUGGUACUAUUUUUGUUGGUUUUGCGCACUGAGGUAAUGAUUAAGAGGGACAGUUGGGGGUAUUUGUAUUCCAUUGUCAGAGGUGAAAUUCUUGGAUUUUUGGAAGACAAACUACUGCGAAAGCAUUUA
rnacentral:rRNA from 1 species